GUCGUGUUACCAACCCUCCAAUUAAGAACUUGUAAUAUAGAAGCUUUGUGGGGAAGCUGCUGGUUGUCUUGGCCCCAUCCAGGUUUCCUGUAUAUUCCAGGUUUUUUCUGGCCUCCCUGACUAUCCAGCUAUAGUAUGAGUGAUGGUAAUGCUCAAAUAUAUGUCAAACUUUCAUCUGGCAGCAGCUGUCUUGCAACUCUAUUUGGGGUAUCAGCCACUUUGACAGAUGUGCUAACCGCUAAAGAACUAUCAAUGUUUCGGGGGGAGGGUUCGUCUAUGGGGAAUACACAUUCUGUGUAUUUGUGGGGAUGAAGUCUCCAUAAAAUGUCAACUUCAGGCCCAUAGACUCAAUAUAUGUCACACAUAAUAUAUCUAAAUCUAAGGACUGUCCAUGGGGGGUUACCCCCCAUGUUCAGGUUAAGGACUGGCCAUAUGGGUUUAGUGCCUUUGGUCAGGUUAAGGACUGUCCAUAGGGGUUUUGCGCUCCGAUUGGUCAGGGUAAGGGCUGUCCAUACUGGGGUUUCGUGCUCCAGUUGGUCAGGUUAGGACUGUCCAAGUGAAUCUUGGUCAGAUUAUCAGCAGCCAGUUCAGAAGCUGUGCAGCUAAUAGGGUGUGACAUAUGAGUAGGCAUGAUGCUUGUCAUAUACUGUAAAUGGACUCUUCACAACCCCGAACCCCUCUCCCACAAAAAUA